rnacentral:rRNA from 1 species
UACAGGGGGGGCAAGCGUUGUUCGGAAUUACUGGGCGUAAAGGGCUCGUAGGCGGCCGGCUAAGUCCGACGUGAAAUCCCCAGGCUUAACCUGGGAACUGCGUCGGAUACUGGCGGGCUUGAAUCCGGGAGAGGGAUGCGGAAUUCCAGGUGUAGCGGUGAAAUGCGUAGAUAUCUGGAGGAACACCGGUGGCGAAGGCGGCUCACUGGCUCGGUACUGACGCUGAGGCGCGAAAGCGUGGGGAGCAAACAGG